rnacentral:rRNA from 1 species
GACGAACGCUGGCGGCGUGCUUAAUACAUGCAAGUCGUACGGUCAGGCCCUUUCGGGGGUACUCGAGUGGUGCACGGGUGCGUAACACGUGCGUAACCUGCCCCUAACUAUGGGACAACGCUAGGAACCUGGUGCCAAUACUGGAACUGUGCUCUUGCUUCAUGGUGGGGGUUGGAAAGUUCCGGCGGUUGUGGAUGGACUUGCGGGCUAUCUGCUUGCUGGUGGGGUAGUGGCCUACCAAGGCGGCGUCGGGUAGCAGGGCUGCGCGGGUGACCGGCGACAUUGAGACUGAGAGACGGCCGAGGCACCGACGGGAGGCAGCAGUGGGGAAGAUUGCACAAGGGGCGCAGGCCGGAUGCAGCAGCGCCGCGUGCGGGAUGACGGCCUUCGUGUUGUAAACCGUUUGCAGCAGGGACGAAGCUUUUUGUGACGGUACCUGCAGAAGAAGCACCGGCUAACUACGUG